GACGAACGCUGGCGGCGUGCUUAACACAUGCAAGUCGAACGGAAAGGCCCUUCUUGCAGGGUGCUCGAGUGGCGAACGGGUGAGUAACACGUGGGUGAUCUGCCCCUUACUUUGGGAUAAGCCUGGGAAACUGGGUCUAAUACUGGAUAGGACCAUGCUGUAGGUGGUGUGGUGGAAAGAUUAGUUUCGGUAAGGGAUGAGCUCGCGGCCUAUCAGCUUGUUGGUGGGGUAAUGGCCUACCAAGGCGUCGACGGGUAGCCGGCCUGAGAGGGUGGACGGCGACAUUGGGACUGAGAGACGGCGCAGAGUCCUACGGGAGGCAGAAGUGGGGAGUAUAGUACAAAGGGCGCAAGCCUGAUGCAGCGACGCCGCGUGGGGGAUGACGGCCUUCGGGUUGUAAACUCCUCUCAGCCAUGACGAAGCCCUUGUGGUGACGGUAGUGGUAGAAGAAGCACCGGCUAACUACGUG
rnacentral:rRNA from 1 species